GUGAAUCAUCGAAUUUUUGAACGCAAAUUGCACUCUCCGCGGAGAGGAGGACUGUUUGAGGGUCAGCCUAAGAAAAAUCGACGUCGUUACGGUUCCUCUGUGACGUUCGUCGGGAAUUGGGUUAUCUUAGACCUUUUGGUCUAGGCGACUUGCAAGUUUCCUUUUGGUUCCAUGAACGAUUCUGAGAUGU
rnacentral:misc_RNA from 1 species